rnacentral:misc_RNA from 1 species
GAUGAAGAACGUAGCGAAAUGCGAUACUUGGUGUGAAUUGCAGAAUCCCGUGAACCAUCGAGUCUUUGAACGCGAGUUGCGCCCGAAGCCAUUAGGCCGAGGGCACGCCUGCCUGGGUGUCACACACCGUUACCCUCGCGCCAACGUCCAUCGUUGGCCGCGGCGCGGGGCGUGUGCUGACCUCCCGCGAGCGGGGUCUCGUGGUUGGUUGAAAAUCGAGUUCGCGGUCGAGGGUGCCGUGAUGAAAUGGUGGAUGGGCGACGCCCGAGGCCAAUCACGCGCGACUCGGUCCGGCUCGGACUCCUGGACCCCUUCGGCGUCUCCGGACGCUCUUUGGCGAGACCUCAGGUCAGGCGGGGCUACCCGCUGAGUUUAAGCAUAUCAAUAAGCGGAGGA